rnacentral:rRNA from 1 species
GGGUUGUGAGGUUAAGCGACUAAGCGUACACGGUGGAUGCCCUGGCAGUCAGAGGCGAUGAAGGACGUGCUAAUCUGCGAUAAGCGUCGGUAAGGUGAUAUGAACCGUUAUAACCGGCGAUUUCCGAAUGGGGAAACCCAGUGUGAUUCGUCACACUAUCAUUAACUGAAUCCAUAGGUUAAUGAGGCGAACCGGGGGAACUGAAACAUCUAAGUACCCCGAGGAAAAGAAAUCAACCGAGAUUCCCCCAGUAGCGGCGAGCGAACGGGGAGCAGCCCAGAGCCUGAAUCAGUGUGUGUGUUAGUGGAAGCGUCUGGAAAGGCGCGCGAUACAGGGUGACAGCCCCGUACACAAAAAUGCACAUGCUGUGAGCUCGAUGAGUAGGGCGGGACACGUGGUAUCCUGUCUGAAUAUGGGGGGACCAUCCUCCAAGGCUAAAUACUCCUGACUGACCGAUAGUGAACCAGUACCGUGAGGGAAAGGCGAAAAGAACCCCGGCGAGGGGAGUGAAAAAGAACCUGAAACCGUGUACGUACAAGCAGUGGGAGCACGCUUAGGCGUGUGACUGCGUACCUUUUGUAUAAUGGGUCAGCGACUUAUAUUCUGUAGCAAGGUUAACCGAAUAGGGGAGCCGAAGGGAAACCGAGUCUUAACUGGGCGUUAAGUUGCAGGGUAUAGACCCGAAACCCGGUGAUCUAGCCAUGGGCAGGUUGAAGGUUGGGUAACACUAACUGGAGGACCGAACCGACUAAUGUUGAAAAAUUAGCGGAUGACUUGUGGCUGGGGGUGAAAGGCCAAUCAAACCGGGAGAUAGCUGGUUCUCCCCGAAAGCUAUUUAGGUAGCGCCUCGUGAAUUCAUCUCCGGGGGUAGAGCACUGUUUCGGCAAGGGGGUCAUCCCGACUUACCAACCCGAUGCAAACUGCGAAUACCGGAGAAUGUUAUCACGGGAGACACACGGCGGGUGCUAACGUCCGUCGUGAAGAGGGAAACAACCCAGACCGCCAGCUAAGGUCCCAAAGUCAUGGUUAAGUGGGAAACGAUGUGGGAAGGCCCAGACAGCCAGGAUGUUGGCUUAGAAGCAGCCAUCAUUUAAAGAAAGCGUAAUAGCUCACUGGUCGAGUCGGCCUGCGCGGAAGAUGUAACGGGGCUAAACCAUGCACCGAAGCUGCGGCAGCGACGCUGAUGCGUUGUUGGGUAGGGGAGCGUUCUGUAAGCCUGUGAAGGUGUGCUGUGAGGCAUGCUGGAGGUAUCAGAAGUGCGAAUGCUGACAUAAGUAACGAUAAAGCGGGUGAAAAGCCCGCUCGCCGGAAGACCAAGGGUUCCUGUCCAACGUUAAUCGGGGCAGGGUGAGUCGACCCCUAAGGCGAGGCCGAAAGGCGUAGUCGAUGGGAAACAGGUUAAUAUUCCUGUACUUGGUGUUACUGCGAAGGGGGGACGGAGAAGGCUAUGUUGGCCGGGCGACGGUUGUCCCGGUUUAAGCGUGUAGGCUGGUUUUCCAGGCAAAUCCGGAAAAUCAAGGCUGAGGCGUGAUGACGAGGCACUACGGUGCUGAAGCAACAAAUGCCCUGCUUCCAGGAAAAGCCUCUAAGCAUCAGGUAACAUCAAAUCGUACCCCAAACCGACACAGGUGGUCAGGUAGAGAAUACCAAGGCGCUUGAGAGAACUCGGGUGAAGGAACUAGGCAAAAUGGUGCCGUAACUUCGGGAGAAGGCACGCUGAUAUGUAGGUGAAGCGACUUGCUCGUGGAGCUGAAAUCAGUCGAAGAUACCAGCUGGCUGCAACUGUUUAUUAAAAACACAGCACUGUGCAAACACGAAAGUGGACGUAUACGGUGUGACGCCUGCCCGGUGCCGGAAGGUUAAUUGAUGGGGUCAGCGCAAGCGAAGCUCUUGAUCGAAGCCCCGGUAAACGGCGGCCGUAACUAUAACGGUCCUAAGGUAGCGAAAUUCCUUGUCGGGUAAGUUCCGACCUGCACGAAUGGCGUAAUGAUGGCCAGGCUGUCUCCACCCGAGACUCAGUGAAAUUGAACUCGCUGUGAAGAUGCAGUGUACCCGCGGCAAGACGGAAAGACCCCGUGAACCUUUACUAUAGCUUGACACUGAACAUUGAGCCUUGAUGUGUAGGAUAGGUGGGAGGCUUUGAAGUGUGG